UACAGAGGGUGCGAGCGUUGUUCGGAAUUAUUGGGCGUAAAGGGCGCGUAGGCGGCGCGGUAAGUCACCUGUGAAAUCUCCUGGCUCAACUGGGAGCUUGCAGGCGAAACUGCCGUGCUGGAGUGUGGGAGAGGUGCGUGGAAUUCCUGGUGUAGCGGUGAAAUGCGUAGAUAUCAGGAGGAACACCGGUGGCGAAGGCGGGUCUCUGGGCAACAACUGACGCUGAGGAGCGAAAGCGUGGGGAGCGAACAGG
rnacentral:rRNA from 1 species